rnacentral:rRNA from 1 species
UACGGAGGGUGCGAGCGUGUCCGGAUUUAUUGGGUUUAAAGGGUGCGUAGGUGGCUGAUUAAGUCAGUGGUGAAAUACAGCCGCUCAACGGUUGAGGUGCCAUUGAUACUGAUCAGCUUGAAAUAAUUGGAGGCUGCCGGAAUGGAUGGUGUAGCGGUGAAAUGCAUAGAUAUCAUCCAGAACACCGAUUGCGAAGGCAGGUGGCUACGAUUUAUUUGACACUGAGGCACGAAAGCAUGGGGAGCAAACAGG